CUACUGGUAGUUACGCAAGCAAAAAUAAACAAUACAAAAUAGGUAUUUGGUUGAGAAAAUAGUGCCUAUUAAUAGUAUUUUAUAUAAUGCAUGCGUUGAUCACCCUUUUAAAUUUAAGAAAAGAGGGAAGGGAGGAAGCAAUUCAUGUUGCUUAAAUAACAUAGUUUUUAUGUUUUGUGCUUUUAUCUUUUAUUUUUUUUUAAAUGUUGUUGG
rnacentral:lncRNA from 1 species